GAUGAACGCUGGCGGCGUGCUUAACACAUGCAAGUCGAACGGAAAGACCCUGAUCUUGUGGGGUGCUCGAGUGGCGCACGGGUGAGUAAAACGUGAGUAAAAUGUACCUGACUUUGGGAUAAAUUCAGGGAAAUGGGGCUAAUACAGGAUAGGAUCUACUGCUGCACGGGGGGGGAUGGUAAGAUUCGGCGGUUUUGGAUGGUCUGGCGGGUUAUCGGCUUGAUUGUGGGGUAGUGGCUUACCAAGGCUUUGAAGGGUAGCCCGCCUGAGAGGGUGACCGGCCACAUUGGGACUAAGGGACGCACCAGACUCCAACGGGAGGCAGCAGGGGGAAAUAUGGCACAAUAGGCGGAAGCCUGAGACAGAAGCGCCGCGUGCGGGAUGACGUCUUUCUGGGGGUAAACCGCUGUCGCCUGUGACGAAGCGUGAGUGACGGUAAUGGGUAAGAAAGCACCGGCUAACUACGUG
rnacentral:rRNA from 1 species